rnacentral:rRNA from 1 species
AUUGAACGCUGGCGGCAUGCUUUACACAUGCAAGUCGAACGGCAGCACGGGGGCAACCCUGGUGGCGAUUGGCGAACGGUUGAGUAAUACAUCGGAACUUGCCCGGUCGUGCGGGAUAACGUACCGAUAGUUACUCUUAUACCCCAUACGAUCUGUGGAUGCAUUCGGGGGACCUUCCGGCCUCGCGCCCUCUUAGCGGCCUAUGUCAGAUUCGGUAGUUGGUGGGGUAACGGCAUAACAAGCCGGCGCUCUGUAGCUGGUCUGAGAGGACGACCAGCCACACGGGGAGUGAGAAAGGGCACAGACACCUAGGGGAGGAAGCAGUGGGGAAUGUUGGACAAGGGGGGAGAGCGUGAUACAGCAAUUCCGCGGGCAGGACGAAGGAGUUAGGGUGGGAAAGUGCUGUUGUAUGGAAGGAAAAGGCGCUGGCUAAUACCUGGGGAUCAUGACGGUACCGGAAGAAUAAGCACCGGCUAACUACGUG